GAUGAACGCUGGCGGCGUGCCUAAUACACGCAAGUCGAGCGAAUGGAUUAAGAGCUUGCUCUUAUGAAGUUAGCGGCGGACGGGUGAGUAACACGUGGGUAACCUGCCCAUAAGACUGGGAUAACUCCGGGAAACCGGGGCUAAUACCGGAUAACAUUUUGAACCGCAUGGUUCGAAAUUGAAAGGCGGCUUCGGCUGUCACUUAUGGAUGGACCCGCGUCGCAUUAGCUAGUUGGUGAGGUAACGGCUCACCAAGGCAACGAUGCGUAGCCGACCUGGGAGGGUGAUCGGCCACACUGGGACUGAGACACGGCCCAGACUCCUACGGGAGGCAGCAGUAGGGAAUCUUCCGCAAUGGACGAAAGUCUGACGGAGCAACGCCGCGUGAGUGAUGAAGGCUUUCGGGUCGUAAAACUCCGUUGUUAGGGAAGAACAAGUGCUAGUUGAAUAAGCUGGCACCUUGACGGUACCUAACCAGAAAGCCACGGCUAACUACGUGCCAGCCGCCGCCGUAA
rnacentral:rRNA from 1 species